CAGGCAGUUGGAGGGCUGGUGGUGCACCCAGAUCCCAGAGUCAAGAGGGUCUGGAAGCUCUUACGCUAGUGAGAAGGAUGGGAAGAUUGCAGAAGCUUGCAUGGAUAUAAUUAGGGCCGCUAAUGCAUAACAUGCAAUUUUCAUCUCAAUUGAGAUGAGUGCACAACAAAAUCUGUGUUUUGGCAAUGAACAUUUUUGAGAUCACCAGACUGAACAAGAAGAACCAAAGAACUCAACAUGACAUAGGCUAUUUUCAGACUAUGAGCUCUCCUUCAUCAAAGUCAGCACUAGCUGUGAAGACCACCUGCUCCAAGUAAUUACCUUAAAGCAUACUCUCAGUGUCUCCUGAUUCAAAUGACCUAUUUCUUGGUGAAAUAAGACAUCUCCUAACUUUGGCUGUGUGAAAUAUGCUCUACACUUGAAAUUACUUAUUCACAGGAGACAAAUACUCAUAGAUCAAUUCAAAGCACUGAUCUCUCUCAGUGGGCCCACUGGAACUCUAUUCCCAAGGCACAAGAAGAAAACAAUCUGCAGAUUACCUGGUAGAAAUGACUAGAUAGAUCUGAAAACCAGCCACAUGGAAAAUGACAAAAUUGUUCUUCUGAAAUCCUCAUUCAGACAAACCUAAGAAGGGAAUUAAUUUUCCCUUCUUAAAAAUUAAUUUUCGCAAUUUCAUGUAUGAAACAAGUAGUCAGACCUUACCUUUAGGAGAGUAUGUUGUUUGUCCAAGAGUUGCAAUAAUUUCAUAUUCAUCAAUUAACACUUUUGGCCUGACUCCUGUGCCCAAUACAGACACCUAUAAAUUUGCUUCGACUUUCAAGUUUCAAAAAAAUUUUUUUCAAUGUAUCUCAGUAAUCAGACAUACAAAACAGUUAGCUUCAGUCCUGAUCAACAACAAAACAAAACAAAAGACGGAGGUAUACCAAAAUCAUUUAAUCAAAACGCGCAUGGAAGGUUUUGUUACCCAGAGUAAGAUACUAAUUAGCCCAAGAAACAGAGUGUCUUUGAAAGGUCACACCGUGUCCUAUUUUUAUUCCCGCUAAGACUUUUUCCUAGGUCAGCAUUCAAGAAAUAUGCCAGGGAACACUGGUUCUGUAAGAUGGUUCUUGAAAGAAAAGAGUUCCAUAGCCAGAUUUAUUUGGAAAAAAUUGCAUACCAUGUCUCACUUGUGAAUUUAAAUGAACAUUAACAUUGUAAAAACUGAAAAAAAAAUUUAGAUGGGAUAAAUUUAUUUGCAUUUAACCCAACAUCAUACAAACUUAUUUGACCCUGCACCAUUUUUACAAGUAUCUAAUCCUCAGGAACAACCGUUUGGCCCCACUGCAGUAGCCUCUUGACUAUUCUCUGCUUCAAGCGUUACCUUGCUCCAAUUCACUCUCAACUACCAGCAGAAUUAUCCAUCUAAAACAUUAAUGACACCUCACAACUCUCCUGCCUAAAAUAAUCCAGUGGCACUAGAUUGUGUGACAGGUAAUGUCUACACUCCUCAGUAGAACACGGGGUUUUUAGUAAUUCUAUCUGCAGCUUAGUUUCCCUCCCAUCCUUUGCCACUGACUCCUGCUUACCCAGCACGCCUAAUACACUGGCAUCACCAAAUUACUUGAAAUAUUGAAAAAUAUCCACUUACACCUGAUCUUAUCUCAUCCUAUUCCUGAUACUCUCUUCCAAAUUUUUGAUAGUUCACACACGUACUUCUUGUCAACAGAUUUUCUUGAUCACUUUCCUCUUUAUCCAAGUGAGUGAGUUGUUCUUUACAGUGUUUCCUUAUCACUUUGUAAAUACCUCUAGAAACAUGUGAAUUCCACUGAAUCUACUGCACUUAGUAAAUUGUGAUCCUAUAAACUUGUGCUAAUUCUGUAGGAUUAGCUACAACUACAAUGUAACUUUUGAGCACAUAAAAUAUGACUAAUCCGAACUGAGAUAUGCUUUACACAUAAAUUACUGAUUUCAAAGAUUAAAGAGAAAAAAAGAGAA